rnacentral:rRNA from 1 species
GAUGAACGCUGGCGGCGUGCCUAAUACAUGCGAGUCGAACGAAACUUCUUUAUCACCGAGUGCUUGCACUCACCGAUAAAGAGUUGAGUGGCGAACGGGUGAGUAACACGUGGGCAACCUGCCCAAAAGAGGGGGAUAACACUUGGAAACAGGUGCUAAUACCGCAUAACCAUAGUUACCGCAUGGUAACUAUGUAAAAGGUGGCUAUACUACCGCUUUUGGAUGGGCCCGCGGCGCAUUAGCUAGUUGGUAGGGUAAAGGCUUACCAAGGCAAUGAUGCGUAGCCGAAUUGAGAGGUUGAUCGGCCACAUUGGGACUGAGACACGGCCCAAACUCCUACGGGAGGCAGCAGUAGGGAAUCUUCCACAAUGGGCGAAAGCCUGAUGGAGCAACGCCGCGUGGGUGAAGAAGGUCUUCGGAUCGUAAAACCCUGUUGUUAGAGAAGAAAGUGCGUGAGAGUAACUGUUCACGUUUCGACGGUAUCUAACCGGAAAGCCACGGCUAACUACGUG